rnacentral:rRNA from 1 species
UACAGAGGGGGCUAGCGUUGUUCGGAAUUACUGGGCGUAAAGGGCGCGUAGGUGGCCUGCUAAGUCGAACGUGAAAUCCCCGGGCUCAACCCGGGAACUGCGUCCGAGACUGGCAGGCUUGAAUCCGGGAGAGGGAUGUGGAAUUCCAGGUGUAGCGGUGAAAUGCGUAGAUAUCUGGAGGAACACCGGUGGCGAAGGCGGCAUCCUGGACCGGUAUUGACGCUGAGGCGCGAAAGCCAGGGGAGCAAACGGG